AAAAAUAUAAAAUUACCUGAGAAGCUGCAAGCCACUGAAUUAUGGUCUUUACUUCAGGAUCUCCUCCAAAGGCGCCACAUCCCCAGUUUCCAGUUGCAACCCCAAUGUUAUCAACCUGAUCCAUGCAAUGGAAAAAACAUCGGAAAAGACCAACCAGUGAAGAUGAACAUCCAUUCUCUUGCAAUUUUUUCUGAUAUAGUUGAUAUUCACAUUGGUACAGAAAACCACAGAAUGCUUUAUUGAUCUCACUGCAAAAAUGAACAUGUUCAGUUUAGAUUUUAUUUUACUUAA